AGGAGCCAAAGGGAAAAAAGGGAGCUCAGAGCAAAUCUUCUCCAGGGGCUUGGUGGGAGCAUCCCCCAGACACGGCUCAGUACAGGUUAGCAGCUCUGACAGCACCAUGAGACAAAGCCUUGGCCCAGACGCCAAGAUUGCAUGGAGCCCAUGGAGGGAAUCUUGGGAACUGGACAUCAUCAACACAGAGACUGGAUGGAAAACAACAGAACUGUAUGCAGAUGCCUAUGGAACCUCCCCUGGGGGCUCCCAGAAAAACUUGGAAGGUUAAAUGAUGUCUUUAGGGCUUCCCUAGAGGCGCAGUGGUUGGGAGUCCGCCUGCCGAUGCAGGGGACGCGGGUUUGUGCCCCGGUCCGGGAAGAUCCCACAUGCCGCAGA